rnacentral:rRNA from 1 species
GACCGCUUGGGGAGUACGGCCGCAAGUUUAAAACUCAAAUGAAUUGACGGGGGCCCGCACAAGCGGUGGAGCAUGUGGUUUAAUUCGAUGCAACGCGAAGAACCUUACCUGGUCUUGACAUCCACAGAACUUUCCAGAGAUGGAUUGGUGCCUUCGGGAACUGUGAGACAGGUGCUGCAUGGCUGUCGUCAGCUCGUGUUGUGAAAUGUUGGGUUAAGUCCCGCAACGAGCGCAACCCUUAUCCUUUGUUGCCAGCGGUCCGGCCGGGAACUCAAAGGAGACUGCCAGUGAUAAACUGGAGGAAGGUGGGGAUGACGUCAAGUCAUCAUGGCCCUUACGACCAGGGCUACACACGUGCUACAAUGGCGCAUACAAAGAGAAGCGAUCUCGCGAGAGCUAGCGGACCUCAUAAAGUGCGUCGUAGUCCGGAUUGGAGUCUGCAACUCGACUCCAUGAAGUCGGAAUCGCUAGUAAUCGUGAAUCAGAAUGUCACGGUGAAUACGUUCCCGGGCCUUGUACACACCGCCCGUCACACCAUGGGAGUGGGUUGCAAAAGAAGUAGGUAGCUUAA